AGAAUGAACGUUGGCGGCGUGGAUUAGGCAUGCAAGUCGAGCGAGAACCGUAGCAAUACGGGGACAGCGGCGAAAGGGACAGUAAUGUGUAGAUCAUCUGCCCUCGGGAUCGGGAUAGCUGCGGGAAACUGCAGGUAAUACCGAAUAACAUCUCCGGAUCAAAUGGUGUGAUUCCGCCUGAGGAUGAGUCUACAUCCUAUUAGCUAGUUGGUGGGUAACGGCCUACCAAGGCUUUGAUGGGUAGCGGGUGUGAGAGCACGACCCGCGUCACUGGGACUGAGACACUGCCCAGACACCGUACGGGUGGCUGCAGUCGAGAAUCUUCGGCAAAGUGGACGCAAGUCUGACCGAGCGACGCGCGUGCGGAUGAAGGUCCGUUCGGGUUGUAAACCGCUGUCGAGGAGGGAGUAAAGUUCGGUGGUUCUCCCACGCAUUCGACCUAGCCUCAGAGGAAGUCGGAGUAACGUCGCGCCAGCAG
rnacentral:rRNA from 1 species